UUGCAGCCGCUGCAGCUACCUCCUCUUUUAUCUUGUGCCCAUGGGCAUGCUCUGGAUCUUUCUUUGCCGCAUGCUUCUCAUGCAAGGCGUAAGUGCCAGCAGCAGCAGCACCUAGCUUGCCCAGUUGCCCAAGAUGCUUGUGGUGCUUCUCCUCCUUUCUGCAGUCAACAGCUUCCUGGCCUUCCUUGUGGUGGUGGAAGAGGUGGUGGUGCUUCUCUUCUGCCAUAGUUGUGGUUUUAUGAAAUAAUAUAGCUGCAGAAAAAUUAUGUAAACGCGUG
rnacentral:misc_RNA from 1 species